AAUAAGACGAGAAGACCCCAUGGAGCUUUAAUUAAUUAAUGCAAAUAAAAACUCAAAAAGCCUACAGGCCUUAACCUACUAUUUCUGCAUUAAAAAUUUUGGUUGGGGUGACCUCAUAGCAUAUUCAACCUCCGAACAACCUAAACUAAGACCGCACUAGUCUAAGCGAGUUAAUACACAUUGACCUAAUAAUUUGAUCAACAGCACAAGUUACCCUAGGGAUAACAGUGCAGUCCUAUUCUAUCAUAUCGAUAAUAGGGUUUACAACCUUGAUGUUGGAUCAGGACAUCCUAAUGGUGUAGCCAUUAUUAAAGGUUUGUUUAUUCAACGAUUGAAGUCCUACAUGAUCUAUUUCAGACCAGAGUAAUCCAGGUCGGUUUCUAUCUAUU
rnacentral:ncRNA from 1 species